AAUAUUGGACAAUGGGGGCAACCCUCAUCCAGCGCUGCAGCGUGUGUGAAGAAGGUCUUCGGAUUGUAAAGCACUUUAAGUUGGGAGGAAGUGCUGUAGGUUAAUACCCUGAAGUUUUGACGUUACCAACAGACUAAGCACCGGCUAACUCUGUGCCAGCAGCCGCGGUAAUACAGUGGGUGCAAGCGUUAAUCGGAAUUACUGGGCGUAAAGCGCGCGUAGGUGGUUCAGGAAGAUGAGUGUGAAAUCCCCGGGCUUAACCUGGGAACUGCUUUCAUAACUGCUGAGCUAGAGUACGGUAGAGGGUAGUGGAAUUUCCUGUGUAGCGGUGAAAUGCGUAGAUAUAGGAAGGAACACCAGUGGCGAAGGCGACUACCUGGACUGAUACUGACACUGAGGUGCGAAAGCGUGGGGAGCAAAC
rnacentral:rRNA from 1 species